rnacentral:rRNA from 1 species
CCUACGGGAGGCAGCAGUGGGGGAUAUUGCACAAUGGGGGGGAACCCUGAUGCAGUGACGCCGCGUGGGUGAAGAAGCGCCUCGGCGCGUAAAGCCCUGUCAGCAGGGAAGAAAAUGACGGUACCUGAAGAAGAAGCCCCGGCUAACUCCGUGCCAGCAGCCGCGGUAAUACGGAGGAUGCGAGGGUUAUCCGGAUUUAUUGGGGUAAAAGGGUGUGUAGGCGGAGCGUUACGUCAUUGGUCAAAUUGAGGGGCUCAACCCCUUCCCGCCAUUGAAACUGGCGGUCUUGAGUGGAAGAGAAGUAUGCGGAAUGCGUGGUGUAGCGGUGAAAUGCAUAGAUAUCACGCAGAACCCCGAUUGCGAAGGCAGCAUGCCGGCUUCCUACUGACGCUGAAGCACGAAAGCGUGGGGAUCGAACAGGAUUAGAUACCCGUGUAGUC